rnacentral:rRNA from 1 species
UGCCAGCCGCCGCGGUAAUACGGAGGGGGCUAGCGUUAAUCGGAAUUACUGGGCGUAAAGCGCGCGUAGGCGGCUUUGUAAGUCGGAUGUGAAAGCCCUGGGCUUAACCUGGGAAUGGCAUUCGAUACUGCAGAGCUAGAGUAUGGUAGAGGGAAGUGGAAUUUCCGGUGUAGCGGUGAAAUGCGUAGAUAUCGGAAGGAACACCAGUGGCGAAGGCGGCUUUCUGGACCGAUACUGACGCUGAGACGCGAAAGCGUGGGGAGCAAACAGGAUUAGAUA